rnacentral:tRNA from 1 species
GUCAUGUGGCCUAGUGGUCAUGGCAUCUGCCCGGUAAGCGGAAGGUCGUGGGUUCGAUUCCCAUCCUUUGACA